CGAUAAUAACCUCACCGGCGCCAC
rnacentral:snRNA from 1 species